GACUCGUGAUGCGGAUAGAUAUUUUUCAAAUCCUUGAACCUCUCCCAACAAGCUUGGAAGGUCUCAUCACCCUUUGGCAUAAAAUGAAAGAUCUUUUCCUACAAAAAU